CCUACGGGUGGCUGCAGUAAGGAAUAUUGGGCAAUGGAGGCAACUCUGACCCAGCCAUGCCGCGUGAAGGAUGACGGCCCUAUGGGUUGUAAACUUCUUUUAUACGGGAAUAAACCCGUGUACGUGUACCCGGCUGAAUGUACCGUAAGACUAAGGAUCGGCUAACUCCGUGCCAGCAGCCGCGGUAAUACGGAGGAUCCAAGCGUUAUCCGGAUUCAUUGGGUUUAAAGGGUGCGUGGACGGCAGCGGAGAAAUCCUACAGCGUAACUGUAGAACUGCCGUUGAGACUGCAAGGCUUGAGUACAUUUGAUGUGGGCGGAAUGUGUAAUGUAGCGGUGAAAUGCUUAGAUAUGACACGGAACACCAAUUGCGAAGGCAGCUCACAAAACUGUAACUGACGCUGAGGCACGACAGCGUGGGGAUCAAACAGGAUUAGAUACCCCGGUAGUC
rnacentral:rRNA from 1 species